rnacentral:rRNA from 1 species
AUACGGGGGGAGCAAGCGUUGUCCGGAAUCACUGGGCGUAAAGGGCGUGUAGGCGGGUUGGUCAGUCAGAUGUGAAAGCCUGCGGCUUAACCGUAGAAAUGCAUUUGAAACUGCCGGCCUGGAGUGCGAGAGAGGGUAGUGGAAUUCCCAGUGUAGCGGUGAAAUGCGUAGAUAUUGGGAAGAACACCAGUAGCGAAGGCGGCUACCUGGCUCGCAACUGACGCUAAUGCGCGAAAGCGUGGGGAGCGAACAGGAUUAGAAACCCCAGUAGUCC